UGGAAACUUAGUCAUAGAUUGAACAGUCUGAUUGAUGAAUUAAUUUGUCAGUAGAUUCAGAUUCUACACUCAACAAACGUAGGUGUAGGUGUCAUUAUUUAAGCGACUGUUUUCCAAUAUGAAUCUGCUGACAAUCCAGCUACCCCUAAUCUUGUACGUAAUUUUCUAAUUUUCUUUUGCAGGUCAUAUGUCUGUGGUCCUUGAAGAUGCGACUGCAAAGCAAGAGAGUGGUAGGGUAAGAGAUUGUACAUGGCGAGUGUUUGUUCAGAUAUUCGAGGACAAACUCGGAGGAGGAGACUACAGGCGGUUCGGCGAAUACCAUAGAGAGAACAAGUUUUCAUCGUUUGUCAUAUUCGAAGAUUGAGUUUGAAAGAAUUGACGUUUGCAGCUUUGUACAGGCCCACAAAUCAGACGUAGGUCUACAAUGAUAAAAAAUAAGAAAAUGUGUAUCGAUGGAUUAUGAAAUCUGAUGAAACACAUGUAUUGUAUAGAUUGAGGUAGACCUCAACGCAGGAUG
rnacentral:misc_RNA from 1 species